rnacentral:rRNA from 1 species
GAACGCUGGCGGCGUGGAUUAGGCAUGCAAGUCGAACGGACACUUAGCUUUUUCGAGUGUUAGUGGCGAAAGGGUGAGUAACACGUGGGUUACCUGCCCUAGGGUUCGGGAUAACUUGUCGAAAGACGGGCUAAUACCGGAUACGUUCUUAUUCUUUAACUGGAGUAAGAGGAAAGAUGGGGACCUCGCAAGAGGCCUGUCACCCUUGGUUGGGCCCGCGGCCUAUCAGCUAGUUGGUGAGGUAAUGGCNCACCAAGGCUAAGACGGUAGCUGGUCUGAGAGGAUGGUCAGCCACACUGGGACUGAGACACUGCCCAGACUCCUACGGGAGGCUGCAGUCGAGAAUCUUCGCAAUGGGGGAAACCCUGACGGAGCGACGCCGCGUGUAGGAUGAAAGGG